UAAUAUAUGGGGAUCUGCCCGAUAGAGGGGGAUAACUACUGGAAACGGUGGCUAAUACCGCAUAAUGUCUACGGACCAAAGCAGGGGCUCUUCGGACCUUGCACUAUCGGAUGAACCCAUAUGGGAUUAGCUAGUAGGUGGGGUAAAGGCUCACCUAGGCGACGAUCUCUAGCUGGUCUGAGAGGAUGAUCAGCCACACUGGGACUGAGACACGGCCCAG
rnacentral:rRNA from 1 species